rnacentral:rRNA from 1 species
GGCCAGCAGCCGCGGUAAUACGUAGGUGGCAAGCGUUAUCCGGAUUUACUGGGCGUAAAGAGGGUGUAGGUGGUUUCAUAAGUCGGUUGUAAAAUCUCUUGGCUUAACUAAGAAUGAUCAUCCGAUACUGUGAGACUUGAGUGCAACAGAGGAAAGCGGAAUUCCCGGUGUAGUGGUGAAAUGCGUAGAUAUCGGGAGGAACACCAGUGGCGAAGGCGGCUUUCUGGGUUGUUACUGACACUGUGGCCCGUAAGCGUGGGGAGCAAACAGGAUCAGAUACCCUGGUAGUCCACGCUGUAAACGAUGAGUACUAGGUAUGGGGAGUAUCGACCCUCUCCGUGCCGAAGCAAACGCUUUAAGUACUCCGCCUGGGGACUACGGUCGCAAGACUAAAACUCAAAAGAAUUGACGGGGGCCCGCACAAGC